rnacentral:lncRNA from 1 species
AUGUUAGAAGCCCAGUUCUCGAGUUCUGUGUCCUGGUUCCAGCAACCCCAGUGGCCCUCCAAGCGAUGAUGCCUAGAAACCAAUCCAAUAUUGCCAUCUGCAUCCUUCAGUCACAUGACCAGGCUGAGCUAAUCAGGAAGUCAGCAGGAAUAGGCUUCAGUGAUUGGCUGGAGCCGGAGGUGGAACCAAUUCCCUCUCAGGGUUGGAAAAGAGGAAGGAGAGCUCCAUGAAGCCCUCUUCUCUCCCUCUGAUUCCACACGGAAUGCUCUUUUCACCCUCCCUCGGUGCUUAUGGAAGGCAUAAUUCAUUAAACCUGCAUUCAUUUGGUGCAUGCCA